GAAGAAGUUGAACCUUCCAAUUCUACCUACCACAACAAUUGGAUCCUUCCCUCAAACUAUGGAUCUUAGAAGAGUGCGACGUGAAUUCAAAGCAAAAAAAAUCUCUGAGGAAGACUAUGUCAGCUCCAUCAAGGAGGAAAUCAAUAAAGUUGUUCAGCUCCAGGAAGAGCUUGACAUCGAUGUCUUGGUGCAUGGAGAGCCCGAGAG
rnacentral:misc_RNA from 1 species